rnacentral:rRNA from 1 species
GAAUGAACAGGCAAAAGCUCAGAUUUGAAACCCUCGGGAUUGUAAUCUGGAGACCUGUGAUUUGGCACGCUGACCAAGUCUUCUGGAACGGAGCGCCAUGGAGGGUGACAGCCCCGUAGCAGCAGCCACUGUAAAUCCGGGUCGACGAGUCGAGUUGUUUGGGAAUGCAGCUCUAAGUGGGUGGUAUGCUCCAUCUAAAGCUAAAUAUUGGCGAGAGACCGAUAGCGAACAAGUACUGUGAAGGAAAGAUGAAAAGAACUUUGAAAAGAGAGUGAAAAAGUACGUGAAAUUGUUGAAAUGGAAGGCAAUGAGGUGCGAUUGAACCGGACGUUUGCGGGCAGGACAAAAGCGCAGGCCGCCUCGGCAUUGCCUGCGUGCAUACUGCCUCGCGGACUACCAGUUCUAACAACGCCUUAUUGCACCCGUCUUGA